GUUGCGGUGCUACUUUUCAUUGUUGGCGUCUGCUUCCUACGCAAGAGGGCAAGCUAUAAAUACAAUAACUCUUUUGGCCAGGAUUCAAUUGUGGAAGGUCUUAGCGAUGGGGACUCCUUGCAAUUUGACCUAGCUACGAUUGAAGCUGCCACGAACAGAUUCUCGGAUGAAAACAAGAUUGGCAAAGGUGGAUUUGGUGUGGUUUAUAAGGGUCACAACGCUACAAAAUUUUGUAGAUUCUAUGAAGCAAUGUUUUAUUAGAUGACAAUAUGAAC